AUGAAAACAUUCUCACACACCCUCAAAUCUCUAAACUAUUUCUCAAGAUGUGAUGCACGACACGUGUGUGCAUUUUUAGUUGGAGACAAACCAGUUAUGAGGCUGAAAAAAAGAAGCAGUUCCAGUAGAGAGAAGAAAAGCCGCAACAAAAGCCAGCUAAAAGGUUUUAUAUCUUCAAUUUACUGCUGA